UACAGAGGUCUCAAGCGUUGUUCGGAUUCAUUGGGCGUAAAGGGUGCGUAGGUGGCGGGGCAAGUUUGGUGUGAAAUCCCGGGGCUCAACCUCGGAACUGCACUGAAUACUGCCUUGCUAGAGCACUGGAGAGGGAACUGGAAUUUACGGUGUAGCAGUGAAAUGCGUAGAUAUCGUAAGGAAGACCAGUGGCGAAGGCGGGUCUCUGGGCAACAACUGACGCUGAGGAGCGAAAGCGUGGGGAGCGAACAGG
rnacentral:rRNA from 1 species